AGCUUUGAUGGUUUAGCCAAAGU
rnacentral:siRNA from 1 species